rnacentral:rRNA from 1 species
GACGAACGCUGGCGGCGUGCUUAACACAUGCAAGUCGAACGGAAAGGCCCUGCUUUUGUGGGGUGCUCGAGUGGCGAACGGGUGAGUAACACGUGAGUAACCUGCCCUUGACUUUGGGAUAACUUCAGGAAACUGGGGCUAAUACCGGAUAGGAGCUCCUGCUGCAUGGUGGGGGUUGGAAAGUUUCGGCGGUUGGGGAUGGACUCGCGGCUUAUCAGCUUGUUGGUGGGGUAGUGGCUUACCAAGGCUUUGACGGGUAGCCGGCCUGAGAGGGUGACCGGCCACAUGGGGACUGAGAUACGGCCCAGACUCCAACGGGAGGCAGCAGUGGGGAGUAUUGCACAAUGGGCGGAAGCCUGAUGCAGCAACGCCGCGUGCGGGAUGACGGCCUUCGGGUUGUAAACCGCUUUCGCCUGUGACGAAGCGUGAGUGACGGUAAUGGGUAAAGAAGCACCGGCUAACUACGUG